GCUGGAUUAGCUCAGUUGGUAGAGCAUCGCAUUCGUAAUGCGGGGGUCACAGGUUCGAAUCCUGCAUCCAGCA
rnacentral:tRNA from 7 species